AUAUCUUAACAUGGCUUUUAUAAAAUCCUCUUAGGUUAUUUUUUUAUCUUAAUAGUUAGUAGGUUGAAGAUUAAUUAAUAAUUUUACCUUCUAGGUUGUAGAGACUCUUCUACUACCUUAGAAAGACCAUAAAUUGAUAAAAUCAGGAUAGAAGAAGUAAAUGGUUGAUAUGGUUGAUACUAGGGUCAAGUUAAGGGUAGUAUUGGACUAAAAAUUCCUUAGGAUAAGUUAGAUUGUUACUUGGGGGUCGACCAUUUGUGAGACAGGGUCGAAAUCAGACCUCUAAUCACUAAAACAACUACUGAGGGCAAGUUAGGGAUUCAUUCAAAGAUGAAAGGUUAGUAUUUGAGAGCUAGCUUGAAGUUCUUUUCAAAGACAUAAGAAUUUUUUUGAGAGGUUUUUGGAGGACUUAGCAAUUGUUGUUCAAAGUCAGGGUUUGUAUCAGUGAUUUGGAUUUUAUAUAAUAUAAUUAGGGCUAGAAAUUCUGGCUAGUUCGUGCAAUUGAUAUAACAUCUAUAAUUAAAAACUUGACAAGAUUUGGAUUAUUGGGUGUACUAAGUGUAUACAAAAUUUUGUGAUAAUCUAACGGCGUGGUUUAGAGAUAUCUAAUUUUUAGCAAAAGAGGAUUUCGAAAGGUGGCAGUUUGAGGUUGGGUAGGAUUUCUAUGAUAUCUGAAGUUCUAUUAGUUGGAUUAUGGUGAAAAUUGGCAUGGUGUUGAAGGACUUGAAGAUCAAGCUACACACCAAUUUU
rnacentral:lncRNA from 1 species